rnacentral:rRNA from 1 species
UACGUAGGUGGCGAGCGUUAUCCGGAUUUACUGGGCGUAAAGGAUGCGUAGGUGGAAUUUUAAGUGGGAUGUGAAAUACCCGGGCUCAACCUGGGAACUGCAUUCCAAACUGGAAUUCUAGAGUGCAGGAGAGGAAAGCGGAAUUCCUAGUGUAGCGGUGAAAUGCGUAGAGAUUAGGAAGAACACCAGUGGCGAAGGCGGCUUUCUGGACUGUAACUGACACUGAGGCAUGAAAGCGUGGGGAGCAAAC